rnacentral:rRNA from 1 species
GUGAGGAAUAUUGGUCAAUGGGCGCAAGCCUGAACCAGCCAUGCCGCGUGCAGGAAGACGGUCCUAUGGAUUGUAAACUGCUUUUAUUUGGGAAUAAACUCCGGUACGUGUACCGGCCUGAAGGUACCAAAUGAAUAAGCACCGGCUAACUCCGUGCCAGCAGCCGCGGUAAUACGGAGGGUGCAAGCGUUAUCCGGAAUCAUUGGGUUUAAAGGGUCCGCAGGCGGUCUUAUAAGUCAGUGGUGAAAGCCUACAGCUCAACUGUAGAACUGCCAUUGAUACUGUAGGACUUGAAUUCGAUCGAAGUGGGCGGAAUGUGACAUGUAGCGGUGAAAUGCUUAGAUAUGUCACAGAACACCGAUAGCGAAGGCAGCUCACUAGGUCUGGAUUGACGCUCAGGGACGAAAGCGUGGGGAGCAAACAGGAUUAGAAACCCGGGUAGUCC